GACCGCGUAGCUCAGUUGGCAGAGCAUUGGGCUAGUUUUCCAAAGGUCGUAAGUUCGAUUCCCACCGUGGUCA
rnacentral:tRNA from 1 species